rnacentral:lncRNA from 10 species
UGCCUUGUACCCAGAUAAUGAACCUGCCUUGUACCCACUCCUGCCAUCAAAAGUUGGAGUCUGUUUCCCCACGCCUUGAAUCUGGGCUGGCUCUAUGAUCCACUUUGGACAACAGAAUUUGGUGGAAGUGAUGCUAUGCCAAUGCUGAGGUGAGGCCUCAAGAGGCCUUGUGGGCUGUGACUCUUUUGGAACGCUGCCUAGCUGUCACGUGAACAAGGCUACUGCAUGAUGAGAGACCAUAUGGAGCCAAAACAUGCCUUUCCAGCUGAGGCCCUCCUAGUCCAGCCAGCCCUAGAUGCACAAGCUGGUGACCAAAGAUACAUGAGUGAGUCCAGAUGAGAAGUCCCUCGUUGAGCCCAGCCCAAUUGCUGAUCCACUGACUUGUGAGAAUUCCAAGCUGCUGAAAAUUUCCUCCUGUGAUGAGACGCAUUCAGAACAAAACGUGCAGCCUGAUUUGUCUUUCCCCAAAAUCAAAGGCAGUAUUCUAAAGAGACUGCAUUUGCCACACAAAGGUGGCAGAUGUUUGCUGAGAUUAUAGCUGCACAAGCGUUCCGCACGUUCAAUCUUGGGAGCAUUUCAGUUUUUGAAAAGAGAAACAGUUUUGUGUCAUUCCUGGAUGCCCAGGAAGCUUCUGGUACCUACAGUGUGGAGCUCUGGUGGGGUGUGGACAAAGGCGGGUUUGCUCACCUGGCUUUCCAUGAUCUGGAUGUCUUGCAGAGCAGUUGCUGA